rnacentral:tRNA from 1 species
GCCCGGGUGGUGGAAUUGGUAUACACGAGCGACUUAAGAUCGCUUGCCGUAAGGCAUGAGAGUUCGAGUCUCUCCCCGGGCACCA